GACCUGGUGGUGAAUGGUUCACACCCACCCUUGUUACGGUCUUUGAAAGUCAAUGUCAGGUGGGAGUCCCCGGUUCGAUUCCGGGACAGGUCA